GAUGAACGCUGGCGGCGUGCCUAAUACAUGCAAGUCGAGCGAACGGACGAGAAGCUUGCUUCUCUGAUGUUAGCGGCGGACGGGUGAGUAACACGUGGAUAACCUACCUAUAAGACUGGGAUAACUUCGGGAAACCGUAGCUAAUACCGGAUAAUAUUUUGAACCGCAUGGUUCAAAAGUGAAAGACGGUCUUGCUGUCACUUAUAGAUGGAUCCGCGCUGCAUUAGCUAGUUGGUAAGGUAACGGCUUACCAAGGCAACGAUGCAUAGCCGACCUGAGAGGGUGAUCGGCCACACUGGAACUGAGACACGGUCCAGACUCCUACGGGAGGCAGCAGAAGGGAAUCUUCCGCAAUGGGCGAAAGCCUGACGGAGCAACGCCGCGUGAGUGAUGAAGGUCUUCGGAUCGUAAAACUCUGUUAUUAGGGAAGAACAUAUGUGUAAGUAACUGUGCACAUCUUGACGGUACCUAAUCAGAAAGCCACGGCUAACUACGUG
rnacentral:rRNA from 1 species